CCACUGCUGAGGAGUCCCACAAGAGGGCGAAACGGCCGUCCAGUGC
rfam:Schistosoma mansoni strain Puerto Rico chromosome 4, complete genome